GGGGUUGUGGCUCAGCGGUAGAGUGCUUGCCUCACAUGUAUGCAGCCCUGGGUUCAAUCCUCAGCACCA
rnacentral:tRNA from 1 species